rnacentral:rRNA from 1 species
UACGUAGGGCGCAAGCGUUUAUCCGGAAUUAUUGGGCGUAAAGAGCUCGUAGGCGGUUUGUCGCGUCUGCCGUGAAAGUCCGGGGCUCAACUCCGGAUCUGCGGUGGGUACGGGCAGACUAGAGGCAUGCAGGGGAGAACGGAAUUCCUGGUGUAGCGGUGAAAUGCGCAGAUAUCAGGAGGAACACCGGUGGCGAAGGCGGCUCUCUGGGACGGUACUGACGCUAAGGCGCGAAAGCGUGGGGAGCGAACAGG